rnacentral:rRNA from 1 species
UACGUAGGGUGCGAGCGUUAAUCGGAAUUACUGGGCGUAAAGCGUGCGCAGGCGGUUUUGUAAGCCAGAUGUGAAAGCCCCGGGCUUAACCUGGGAAUGGCAUUUGGGACUGCAGGGCUUGAGUGCGGCAGAGGAGACUGGAAUUCCUGGUGUAGCAGUGAAAUGCGUAGAUAUCAGGAGGAACACCGGUGGCGAAGGCGGGUCUCUGGGCCGAUACUGACGCUGAGGAGCGAAAGCGUGGGGAGCGAACAGG